rnacentral:rRNA from 1 species
UACGAAGGGGGCUAGCGUUGCUCGGAAUCACUGGGCGUAAAGCGCACGUAGGCGGAUUGCUAAGUCAGGGGUGAAAUCCUGGAGCUCAACUCCAGAACUGCCUUUGAUACUGGGAGUCUCGAGUCCGGGAGAGGUGAGUGGAACUGCGAGUGUAGAGGUGAAAUUCGUAGAUAUUCGCAAGAACACCAGUGGCGAAGGCGGCUCACUGGCCCGGUACUGACGCUGAGGUGCGAAAGCGUGGGGAGCAAACAGG